UGGGGAAUAUUGCACAAUGGGCGCAAGCCUGAUGCAGCCAUGCCGCGUGUAUGAAGAAGGCCUUCGGGUUGUAAAGUACUUUCAGCGGGGAGGAAGGCGAUAAGGUUAAUAACCUUGUCGAUUGACGUUACCCGCAGAAGAAGCACCGGCUAACUCCGUGCCAGCAGCCGCGGUAAUACGGAGGGAGCAAGCGUUCAUCGGAAUUACUGGGCGUAAAGCGCACGCAGGCGGUCUGUCAAGUCGGAUGUGAAAUCCCCGGGCUCAACCUGGGAACUGCAUUCGAAACUGGCAGGCUAGAGUCUUGUAGAGGGGGGUAGAAUUCCAGGUGUAGCGGUGAAAUGCGUAGAGAUCUGGAGGAAUACCGGUGGCGAAGGCGGCCCCCUGGACAAAGACUGACGCUCAGGUGCGAAAGCGUGGGGAGCAAACA
rnacentral:rRNA from 1 species